UACGUAGGGGGCUAGCGUUGUCCGGAAUCAUUGGGCGUAAAGAGCGUGUAGGCGGUCCGGUAAGUCCGUUGUGAAAGUCAGGGGCUCAACCCUUGAAUGCCGGCGGAUACUGUCGGGCUAGAGUCCGGAAGAGGCAAGUGGAAUUCCCGGUGUAGCGGUGAAAUGCGCAGAUAUCAGGAAGAACACCCGUGGCGAAGGCGGCUCUCUGGGGACGGUACUGACGCUGAGACGC
rnacentral:rRNA from 1 species